rnacentral:lncRNA from 1 species
AGAGACUGCUUGGAUUUUUUCAAUCCACGUAUAUAGAUACCAUGCUGAAAUAGUUUAGUGUGGAGAAUUUCAAGAAAGGCUAUCUUCUAAUAGGUCAUAAAAUUUUUCUCUCAAAGAAGGAUUGUCUGAUAACUCCUCAAGAGAGAAUGUAUAAGUAGAGUUUCAUAUGCUUCGAUAGUAAGUUUUAUUAUGUAUGUCAUAAUAUGUAUAAGAUCAGACGUGGCAUA